GGGCAUCUAGCUGAGUUGGUUAGGUGGUUUGAGUAGCACUCGUGAGGUCCUGAGUUCGAAUCUCAGUGUGAGCG
rnacentral:tRNA from 7 species